GCGGCAAUGACUUUGGGGAGUUCCCAUACGUGGUUGCUGAUAUAUAGCCCUCAGGUGCUGAACCAUUCACCAAGUGCAAAUUGUUUCCAAUCAUUCCAAGUCCCCCUCCAUUAAGAGGCCCAGUUGACUGUCCAUAGGAUCUAUUCUGAAAUCCUGACCUGAUUCCACCACCCACAUGGCUGCCAACUGUAUGGAGUAUACGGCUGUUUUGAGCAGCAACAUGCUGCUUUUGUUGCAGAGGCUGUGAAACAUUCAUGGAAUCAACACUAGGAAGUGCAGCAAUACUAUUGGUUGAGUCCAAAUUCAGGGAAGACUGUGUGUUAGUGUUGCUAUUCAAAUUAGCACCACCACU
rnacentral:misc_RNA from 1 species